UUCCAAGGCAAAUGUUAAUUGCAACCUGCAAGCACAGAUGUUUCUGGGAUGGAAAGAAAGGCUGCAGGUGUGACACCCAGAUAGCAUGGCAUCCUCAGAGGCCUUGGAACCAGGAGCCAGGCCACUGGACCUGCAAGCUCAGUACUGGGUGGGCCUCAGCAUCCCUUCUAGCAGCUACAGAUGCCAGGGUCCUGGGCCCAGAGGAUCUGGACCUGCAGUAUUGGGGAUGAAGGAAAAAGCAGUGGGAGCCCCACGCUUGUGAGAUGCCAUGCCACGGUCUGCGCUCACAUCGACAGGAGCAGCAAAGCCAAGUUCCACAAAGAUGAAGAACAGCCUGUCUGGGCUUCUGCAAAUCGGGCUGGGUAUCCCCAGUGAGUCCUGGAGGGAAGAGGCAGGAAUGGCCUCUGGAGACCUACCACGGCUCUGAGCUGAUGGACACUGAUUCUAUACUCUUGUCGCAGUGACCAGAGGCUCCUCAUCACAGCUCAGCAUCACUAGUUUUUAAUGGCUCCUCAGGGUAUUCUCAUGUGCUGCCUGAGAACCUUCAGCUUGCAGUCUCUACAGCUGGAUCCGGCCCUCAAACAUUGUCCAUGCAGCUGGAUAGGGCCUUUGAACCCAUCUGAAGCCUGUGUCCCAAGGCAGACUACAAAGCUGCUCCCAACAUCCUGGUCUGCCUCUUCCCGGGGAUCCCAGGCUGUCUGUCCCAGGAGCAGUGGAGGACACUGCAUCCCUGUAAGUUGAGUUACCAGGAAGCCUGUGCAUGGUCACAGGGGGCUUGGUUACUGGAGUAUGCAAAGUUGCUACCAUGCUUGGGAAGGCAGAUCCUGUGUCUGUGCAGUGGGGAGUGUUUCUUCUGGUCCCCUUUGAGAGAGGAGCCCCUUUCUGGGGAAUCCCUGCCUGCAUUUCUCUAUCUUGGGGUGCAUGGUGUGGGCGUGAAGUCUCUGUGAUCUUUCUAGACUUUUUUCCUCACCUGCGAAAUGCAUCUAAUGGUUGCACCUGCCUCACAGGUGUGGCUGAAAGAGAUCAAACACAGAGCCCAGAGCAUGGCCUGAUGCCUGGACACCAAGUUCGUGGGCCUUGCUUCAGCUCCAGGAUUAGACUGUCUUAGGCUAUGUAAAGAAUAGGGCUGUCCAGGCUGCAUUGAGCUCGACAUACCUGGUGACCGUCCAAGGCCCAUCUGGGCAGGCUGGCCACCACUGUACCAGUUAUUUAGGUGUCAUUGUGAAAGGUCAACUCAAGGAAGAGGGAUUUAUUUGGGUUUGCGGUCUGAGGGGAUACAGUUCAUCGUGGUGGAGGGAGACAUGGCAGUGGGUGGUGUAUGACACGGUGGCGUAUGACCUUCCAUAUGAUAACUACUUAUUACGUGAUGCUGAGCAGGAAAGCAUAGAAACUGUGACAGAGACUGGCUAUAACCAGUAAGCCCUCCUCUUAUAGCUCCAUAGUCUGCAGCUAGGACCCAUGUGCCAAAGGUUCCACCAGCUAGGACCAAGAGUUCAAACACAGGAGCCUGUGGGGACAUUUCCCAUUCAGGUCAUACUCAUUGUAUUGCUGGACGCCAGCGUGGAAGGGGAGAGAGAAGAAAGGCGGGAAGCGGGGACUCCAGGGUGUGUGUGGAGUCUGCUUGGCUCACAGUCUGCUUUGAAGUGUCCCUCCAGGGUCGGAUGCCACAUAGGCUGGCCUGUGCACCCAUGGAGGGAAGCGAUGGUGUGCUCACUUGCUUCUCAGGUCUCCUCACAGCCAAGGCCUGACUGCCGGGAGCAAAAUCUGCCACGGAGCGGACCUUGCACUUCGAGGCUGCGGCUGGAAUUCAGAUACUGGGGAAAAUGUCGGAAACGAUGGCGCUUUGACUCUUUUCCUCUUCUGCUGUCAUAUCAAAGCUAUUUUGUUGGUAUAUAUUCAAGGAAUGUUUUUUAAUCUCCCAAACGAUAGCUUCUCUAAAUGUUCCUGUCGUUGUAAAUUACAUUGUGAUUCCCAAGCCAACUUUUUUCUUUUUCUUUUUUUUUAAAGAGUCAAUUAAAAAAUUCCCUCCAGGGA